UACAGAGGUCUCAAGCGUUGUUCGGAUUCAUUGGGCGUAAAGGGUGCGUAGGCGGCUUUGUAAGUUAGAGGUGAAAGCCCGGAGCUCAACUCCGGAAUUGCCUUUAAGACUGCAUCGCUAGAAUUGUGGAGAGGUAAGUGGAAUUCCGAGUGUAGAGGUGAAAUUCGUAGAUAUUCGGAAGAACACCAGUGGCGAAGGCGACUUACUGGACACAUAUUGACGCUGAGGUGCGAAAGCGUGGGGAGCAAACAGG
rnacentral:rRNA from 1 species